GACGAACGCUGGCGGCGUGCUUAACACAUGCAAGUCGAACGGAAAGGCUCCUUCGGGAGUGCUCGAGUGGCGAACGGGUGAGUAACACGUGGGUGAUCUGCCCUGCACUUUGGGAUAAGCCUGGGAAACUGGGUCUAAUACCGGAUAGGACCACAGCCUGCAUGGGUGGUGGUGGAAAGCUAUUUGUGGUGUGGGAUGAGCCCGCGGCCUAUCAGCUUGUUGGUGGGGUGANGGCCUACCAAGGCUGCGACGGGUAGCCGGCCUGAGAGGGUGUCCGGCCACACUGGGACUGAGAUACGGCCCAGACUCCUACGGGAGGCAGCAGUGGGGAAUAUUGCACAAUGGGCGCAAGCCUGAUGCAGCGACGCCGCGUGGGGAUGACGGCCU
rnacentral:rRNA from 1 species